rnacentral:tRNA from 2 species
UGUCCGCAUAGUUUAAAAACACUAGACUGUGAACCUAGAAAUAGAUCUUGCGAACCAAGUGUGUA